rnacentral:rRNA from 1 species
AGGACGAACGCUGGCGGCGUGCUUAACACAUGCAAGUCAAGGGGGCCCAGCAAUGGGCAACCGGCGAACGGGUGCGUAACACGUGAGCAACCUACCGAACUGUGGGGGAUAGCCGGCCUAACGGCCGAGUAAUACCGCAUACGCUUUCAGUGAGGCAUUUCAUUGAAAGGAAACCUACGGGACAGAUCGAGGGGCUCGCGGCCUAUCAGCUAGUUGGCGAGGUAACGGCUCACCAAGGCUUUGACGGGUAGCUGGUCUGAGAGGACGACCAGCCACACUGGGACUGAGACACGGCCCAGACACCUACGGGUGGCAGCAGUCGAGAAUUUUUGACAAUGGGGAAACCCUGAUCGAGCGACGCCGCGGGAGGAUGAAGGUCUUCGGAUUGUAAACUCCUGUCAUUUGGAACAAGUCGCUUACGUUAACUGCGUGAGCGUUGAUAGUACCAGAAGAGGAAGGACGGCUAACUCUGUGCCAGCAGCCGC